CUGGAGUACCGGUUCUACAAGCAGCUCAGCGCCACAGAGGGCGUCCCUCAGGUCUACUACUUCGGUCCGUGCGGGAAGUACAACGCCAUGGUGCUGGAGCUGCUGGGGCCCAGCCUGGAGGACCUGUUCGACCUGUGCGACCGGACCUUCACGCUCAAGACGGUGCUGAUGAUCGCCAUCCAGCUGAUCACGCGCAUGGAGUAUGUGCACACCAAGAGCCUAAUCUACCGGGACGUGAAGCCCGAGAACUUCCUGGUGGGCCGCCCGGGGACCAAGCGGCAGCACGCCAUCCACAUCAUCGACUUCGGGCUGGCCAAGGAGUACAUCGACCCCGAGACCAAGAAGCACAUCCCGUACCGCGAGCACAAGAGCCUGACGGGCACGGCGCGCUACAUGAGCAUCAACACGCACCUGGGCAAGGGUGAGCUGCGCGCGCGCGGCGGGGGGCGGGCGCCCGGACCCCGCUGAGGCUGCGCCCCUGUCCCCGCAGAGCAGAGCCGCCGCGACGACCUGGAGGCGCUGGGCCACAUGUUCAUGUACUUCCUGCGCGGCAGCCUCCCCUGGCAGGGGCUCAAGGUGGGCGAGGAGACCGGGCAGGCGGGCGGGGACGCAGGGCGGGAGCAAGGCUGACCACAGACCCCCGCAGGCCGACACGCUCAAGGAGCGGUACCAGAAGAUCGGGGACACCAAACGCGCCACGCCCAUCGAGGUGCUCUGCGAGAACUUCCCAGGUAAGGGGUCCCUGCGUCCCCGCCCCCGCCCCGUGCCCCCCACCCCCGCCGAGGCCCCGCUGGCGCUCUCUCUGCAGAGGAGAUGGCCACGUACCUGCGCUAUGUGCGGCGCCUGGACUUCUUCGAGAAGCCCGACUAUGACUACCUGCGGAAGCUCUUCACCGACCUCUUCGACCGCAGUGGCUUCGUGUUCGACUAUGAGUACGACUGGGCCGGGAAGCCCCUGCCGACCCCCAUCGGCACCGUCCACACCGACCUGCCCUCCCAGCCUCAGCUCCGGGACAAAGCCCAGCCGCACAGCAAAAACCAGGUGAAGCCCGGGCGGGACCGACGCCCCAGGGAGGGGCACGGGCGGCCAGCGUGACCCCCUACUGUCCCCACCAGGCGCUGAACUCCACCAACGGGGAGCUGAACGCGGAUG
rnacentral:sRNA from 1 species